UGACGCCGUGCGGGAGAGUCCUGCCGAAGCCGGGCAGGCGCCGAAGGAGCAAUCCCUCCCCGGAAUCUCUCAGGCACCCACACCGCUCGGACCAG
rnacentral:ncRNA from 2 species